rnacentral:rRNA from 1 species
UACGGGGGGGGCAAGCGUUGUUCGGAAUUACUGGGCGUAAAGGGCUCGUAGGCGGCCAACUAAGUCAGACGUGAAAUCCCUCGGCUUAACCGGGGAACUGCGUCUGAUACUGGAUGGCUUGAAUCCGGGAGAGGGAUGCGGAAUUCCAGGUGUAGCGGUGAAAUGCGUAGAUAUCAGGAGGAACACCAGCGGCGAAGGCGGCGCUCUGGGCUGGAACUGACGCUGAGGAGCGAAAGCGUGGGGAGCGAACAGG